rnacentral:tRNA from 1 species
ACCAGUUUAGUCUAGUGGUUAAGGCACCUGGCUAGAAGCCAGGAGACUGUGAGUUCACAGUCCCAUCAUAGCUA